AAACAAAAUAAUAAAGUUAAAUAAGGUAUACAAUAACUAAAUAAGGGAAUGGCUUAAGAAAAUUAUAGUUUAGAUUAUCAUCAUCGAUCCUUUCCAAUUUACCAAACAAAUUUUCACCGACCUUCUUCUUCUCAAAACUUGACUGGCUUAUAUUGCGGGAUUUCGUAUUCCUUUCACACGGUGGAUUAUCCCUAUUAAUCGAUCUCAUUCGGUGGUAUCAUUCCUUACUCAACGCUUCCAAAAGCCAACCCACAUCUCCCUUAAACCUUUCUUUUAAUUUUCAAGUGCGCAGACGAAAACGUCGCUGCCGACCACCAGUCUGAACCGACCAAACCUGCUUGUUACGCCUGCGGUUCGUGUGUUGAACGGUACAAAAGACCGCUGAGCACCACUACCACGUUGAUCGGUCGUUCGUUCGUUGUACACUCGGAAGCGCAAUAUCUUCGAUCCAUCACCAUACCAUCGACUAGUGGUGAUCUAAAGAUCUGUGGCGAACCUACAUUGCACCACGCCGGUCGUCUUUUCUCUUCGACAUAAGGACUCUGUUUCAAGUGAGAACUUGUUGCGUCUACAUUGUUACAUUUAAGCUAAGUGGCUCACAUGGAUGCCUCCUCGUCGUGAGACACGCAACUCUGGUCGUCGUAAUGGUGGUGGACCAAAUGAGCCUGAUCCAAAUAUCGUAGCUGCUAUCACUCAGGCCUUUACUGCUAUGUUGCCUGCACUUGUUCAGGCCGUACGUGGUCCUGAUCCGAAUCCUAAUCCGAACCCUAAUCCCAAUC
rnacentral:lncRNA from 1 species